rnacentral:rRNA from 1 species
GAAACCAACAGGGAUUGCCCUAGUAACGGCGAGUGAAGCGGCAACAGCUCAAAUUUGAAAUCUGGCUCUUUCAGAGUCCGAGUUGUAAUUUGCAGAGGGCGCUUUGGCUUUGGCAGCGGUCCAAGUUCCUUGGAACAGGACGUCACAGAGGGUGAGAAUCCCGUACGUGGUCGCUAGCUAUUGCCGUGUAAAGCCCCUUCGACGAGUCGAGUUGUUUGGGAAUGCAGCUCUAAAUGGGAGGUAAAUUUCUUCUAAAGCUAAAUAUUGGCCAGAGACCGAUAGCGCACAAGUAGAGUGAUCGAAAGAUGAAAAGCACUUUGGAAAGAGAGUCAAACAGCACGUGAAAUUGUUGAAAGGGAAGCGCUUGCAGCCAGACAUGCUUGCAGUUGCUCAUCCGGGCUUUUGCCCGGUGCACUCUUCUGUAGGCAGGCCAGCAUCAGUUUGGGCGGUGGGAUAAAGGUCUCUGUCACGUACCUCUCUUCGGGGAGGCCUUAUAGGGGAGACGACAUACCACCAGCCUAGACUGAGGUCCGCGCAUCUGCUAGGAUGCUGGCGUAAUGGCUGUAAGCGGCCCGUCUUGAAACACGGACCAAGGAGUCUAACAUCUAUGCGAGUGUUUGGGUGUCAAGCCCGAGCGCGUAAUGAAAGUGAACGGAGGUGGGAACCCGCAAGGGUGCACCAUCGACCGAUCCUGAAGUUUACGGAAGGAUUUGAGUAAGAGCAUGGCUGUUGGGACCCGAAAGAUGGUGAACUAUGCUUGAAUAGGGUGAAGCCAGAGGAAACUCUGGUGGAGGCUCGCAGCGGUUCUGACGUGCAAAUCGAUCGUCAAAUUUGGGCAUAGGGGCGAAAGACUAAUCGAACUAUCUAGUA